CUUCAAGGCGAUUAUGGCGGCGGGGUUGUUCCUUCCCGGGUGAGAAAACAAAAAUGUCUUGUGCAUGAUUUGCAAUCGGGGCAAAUAUGUCGGAUAAAGAUCCAGACGAUGUUGUUAUCACUGAGCUACCGAGGUCGGAUUUUUUUCUUGAGACAAGGGCAAUUGCGGUUUCAGGGACCAUAAUGUGGAGAAUGAAACUUUCAACCUCUUGAGGAGUUCAGACCCUUAUCACGCUUUAUCCCAGAAGAAGCUUACUUAAUACCGUUCACUCAUACAAGAUGGUAUCAAACUUGAUGCUCUUCCGCGUGUUUUUCAUGCACUACCAAAUCUGUUAAAGCGUUCUGAAAAGCUUAGCUUGUAGGAAGGCUGUCCUUGAGGGUUUUUUCGAGCAUGUUGGAUUGGAGAAGCAAGACGAGGGAGUGGAGAUGGCUAUCAGUGAUGAUUUGCAUGCUUUGGCGAAAUGUGUUGAUUAUUUUUUUUCACAUGGAGGAAGAUGAGCCUUCUGCUUCCACGUGAACACCUUCGAAUGCAGCCUUGUAUGCCUCCACCCCCUCCACUGGGACCUGGUGGUCUGCUUCAGUUACCUUCAAUGGGGUUGCAUGCAACCACCACCUGUGGAGCCUCUUCUUGAGGAACCAGAGCCAAAGAGACCUUGUGAACUAUAUCAAAACAGUAGUUCCAACAAAGAUAAGUAUAUCAUGAUCAUCAUUUUCAUCUCUGAAUUUUUCAAGAAAUAUCUUGUGAAAAAUAUUUUAAGAAAAAUUGAUAAAAUGAAAAGAGUAGUAAAACAGCAAUAUCCGGAAGAGCAAGAUUUACUAAUGUGAUCACGAAAGCAAGAUGAUUGAUUAAAAAUACUCAAAAUCACAUGACAACUAAU